rnacentral:lncRNA from 1 species
GUCACACUGCUAACAGCAGAGAAUUAAAAAAAAAAAAAAGAUUAAUAAAAAAUAGAAUAAAAAAAAAAAUUGGUCAACUCUGGUUAAUCAUCAGCCUCAUUUGUUGAACCACGAACAUAUUUUUAUUUUCCUUGACAGAAUCACUCAUUGAAAUGAACAUUGCAAAAAACUACUCACAUAUGCAAUACAGUAAAAUUUUCAAUGUCAGGUUUUUUUCAUAAUUCAACCAAAUACCAUGAUGAUAUCAUUCCAGAAGUAGCAAUACUCCAGAUGUGUUCUACCCAAUUCAUCAGAAGGCUGUAAAUUUAGGUGGCUUUCAUUACAAAUUAAUACAUGCACAGUUAUGUACAAUUUCCAAGAAAAUAAAAUACAAAAUGCUAAAGUAAAUUAAUAUUAAAUAUAUGCUUAGUAGAGAUUAAAAUUUGUAAUUUCUUUGUUUAUAUUUCUAAGGUUAGUGGAUAUAUACAAGUGUCAAUAGAACAGCGUGUAUUUCUUUUGACAGUAAAUAUUAAGUAAUUUAAAGACCAUAUCCCCAAAUUUGACAAGGGCAAAGAAAAUUCAGAUAAUAUUAAAUUCCUUAAAAAUAAAUGAGGAAAAGAAGUCCUCCAUUAAUAUUUUGUUCUACAGUGUUUUACAUCUCUCAGGUUGUGAAUGGUGAUUUAGUGGACCUGAAUAGGCUAUUUUGGUAAAACAUCUCAUCUACUACAUUGUGAGAGACAUACUGUGGGAGUUAGAUAUAGGGAAAUGAAUAAAAAAGAAAUACUGGUUAGGAAAGUAGUACUUUGUCUUCUAUUGGUGUUUGGUUUCACUAAUUGUGAAACAAAAUAUUCCAGGGCUGUUCUGGAAACAGUUCUUC